GGGUUGUGAGGUUAAGCGACUAAGCGUACACGGUGGAUGCCCUGGCAGUCAGAGGCGAUGAAGGACGUGCUAAUCUGCGAUAAGCGUCGGUGAGGUGAUAUGAACCGUUAUAACCGGCGAUUUCCGAAUGGGGAAACCCAGUGUGUUUCGACACACUAUCAUUAACUGAAUCCAUAGGUUAAUGAGGCGAACCGGGGGAACUGAAACAUCUAAGUACCCCGAGGAAAAGAAAUCAACCGAGAUUCCCCCAGUAGCGGCGAGCGAACGGGGAGGAGCCCAGAGCCUGAAUCAGUGUGUGUGUUAGUGGAAGCGUCUGGAAAGGCGUGCGAUACAGGGUGACAGCCCCGUACACAAAAAUGCACAUAUUGUGAGCUCGAUGAGUAGGGCGGGACACGUGGUAUCCUGUCUGAAUAUGGGGGGACCAUCCUCCAAGGCUAAAUACUCCUGACUGACCGAUAGUGAACCAGUACCGUGAGGGAAAGGCGAAAAGAACCCCGGCGAGGGGAGUGAAAAAGAACCUGAAACCGUGUACGUACAAGCAGUGGGAGCCUCUUAAUGGGGUGACUGCGUACCUUUUGUAUAAUGGGUCAGCGACUUAUAUUCUGUAGCAAGGUUAACCGAAUAGGGGAGCCGAAGGGAAACCGAGUCUUAACUGGGCGUUAAGUUGCAGGGUAUAGACCCGAAACCCGGUGAUCUAGCCAUGGGCAGGUUGAAGGUUGGGUAACACUAACUGGAGGACCGAACCGACUAAUGUUGAAAAAUUAGCGGAUGACUUGUGGCUGGGGGUGAAAGGCCAAUCAAACCGGGAGAUAGCUGGUUCUCCCCGAAAGCUAUUUAGGUAGCGCCUCGUGAAUUCAUCUCCGGGGGUAGAGCACUGUUUCGGCAAGGGGGUCAUCCCGACUUACCAACCCGAUGCAAACUGCGAAUACCGGAGAAUGUUAUCACGGGAGACACACGGCGGGUGCUAACGUCCGUCGUGAAGAGGGAAACAACCCAGACCGCCAGCUAAGGUCCCAAAGUCAUGGUUAAGUGGGAAACGAUGUGGGAAGGCCCAGACAGCCAGGAUGUUGGCUUAGAAGCAGCCAUCAUUUAAAGAAAGCGUAAUAGCUCACUGGUCGAGUCGGCCUGCGCGGAAGAUGUAACGGGGCUAAACCAUGCACCGAAGCUGCGGCAGCGACACUAUGUGUUGUUGGGUAGGGGAGCGUUCUGUAAGCCUGUGAAGGUGGCCUGUGAGGGUUGCUGGAGGUAUCAGAAGUGCGAAUGCUGACAUAAGUAACGAUAAAGCGGGUGAAAAGCCCGCUCGCCGGAAGACCAAGGGUUCCUGUCCAACGUUAAUCGGGGCAGGGUGAGUCGACCCCUAAGGCGAGGCCGAAAGGCGUAGUCGAUGGGAAACAGGUUAAUAUUCCUGUACUUGGUGUUACUGCGAAGGGGGGACGGAGAAGGCUAUGUUGGCCGGGCGACGGUUGUCCCGGUUUAAGCGUGUAGGCUGGUUUUCCAGGCAAAUCCGGAAAA
rnacentral:rRNA from 1 species